GCUAAGAAUCUUCCGCAAUGGGGGAAACCCUGACGGAGCGACGCCGCGUGGACGAUGGAGGCCGUAAGGUUGUAAAGUCCUUUUGCAGGUGAAGAAUAAGCUGGGGAGUGGAAAGCCCUGGUGAUGACGUUAGCCUGCGAAUAAGCCCCGGCCAAUUACGUGCCAGCAGCCGCGGUAAUACGUAUGGGGCAAGCGUUGUUCGGAGUUAUUGGGCGUAAAGGGCGUGUAGGCGGCUCAUCAAGUCUGGUGUGAAAUCGCGGGGCUCAACCCUGCGUAUGCGCUGGAAACUGGUGGGCUUGAGUUCUUGAGGGGAAGCUGGAAUUCCAGGUGUAGGGGUGAAAUCUGUAGAUAUCUGGAAGAACACCGGUGGCGAAGGCGAGCUUCUAUCAGAGGACUGACGCUGAGGCGCGAAAGCGUGGGGAGCAAACAGGAUUAGAAACCCCGGUAGUCC
rnacentral:rRNA from 1 species